GGCUCCGUAGUUCAGUUCUGGUCAGAACACCUGACUGUCACUCAGGAGAUCGCCGGUUCGAGCCCGGUCGGAGUCGCCA
rnacentral:tRNA from 2 species